rnacentral:rRNA from 1 species
CCUACGGGUGGCAGCAGUGGGGAAUAUUGCACAAUGGGGGAAACCCUGAUGCAGCGACGCCGCGUGAAGGAAGAAGUAUUUCGGUAUGUAAACUUCUAUCAGCAGGGAAGAAAAUGACGGUACCUGACUAAGCAGCCCCAGCAAACUACGUGCCAGCAGCCGCGGUAAUACGUCGGGGACCAGCGUUAUCCGGAUUUACUGGGUGUAAAGGGAGCGUAGGCGGCGAUGCAAGUCAGAAGUGAAAGCCGGGGGGUCAACUCCGGGACUGCUUUUGAAACUGUAGGGCUAGAUUGCAGGAGAGGCAAGUGGAAUGCGUAGUGUAGCGGUGAAAUGCGUAGAUAUUAGGAGGAACACCAGUGGCGAAGGCGGCAUGCUGGACUGUAAAUGACGCUGAGGCUCGAAAGCGUGGGGAGCAAACAGGAUUAGAUACCCGGGUAGUC